GGGAGAUCGGGCGGCGCCCCAAUCCCGGGCAGCGAGCCCCCCGCCCCAUUGGCCCCAUUGCUCUCGCCCCGCCUCGUCGCGGUGGGGCCGCCACCCUGGGCCCGCCCUGGCCCUGUCGUCUCACCCUCCCGCCCCAGGUGAGCGCUCACCUGGCGCCGCGCGCGCCAGAGGUCGCGGCGGCGGAACGUGAAGCCCCCCGGGUCCGGAGAGGCUGGGAGGAGGGUACGGGGCGGGGACGGAGGAGAUUCUGCCUCUCCGGGGUGGGGCGGAGGCAAGUGCAAUAGCUUCUCCGAGACAGAGACGGUGGAGGGUAGCAGAGACGCACCUGGAGUCGGUGGAAAACCCGGGUAUUGUCCGCCCUCCUGCCCAGCGAGAGCCGGUCUCUUCGCCGCAACCCCCGGACUCAGGGCAGAGCCGGAUCCUGACGCAGAACCGCUCUCUGGAAGCGAGGGAAACACAUGUUCAGUGGCUCGGGGGACUCUGUGGCCCUGCAAAUGGAGUCCCCAAGGGAACUCCUGGUCAGAGGGGAGAGAGGAAAGGGCACCCUGUCUUUACGCGGGAGAGUGGCUGUCACCGGCGAGGUGCGCAGCGUGGGCCUCCGUGGGCUUUUUACAAAAUGCCGCUGAUGUUCCCCAGCGCAGAAAUCCAGAGUGGACAGUGGAGCAGACAGAGCCCAGUGAGACGAGGAACCUACUUUCCAAGAACAGUGGUUAGAAAUGUGAAGAUGAAUGUGGACACCUUCCAAUGUGAUUCAGAAAACGUACACUGUCUGAUUUUCUCAUAGCUUCUGUCCGGAUGAUUUCAAAAAGCCAAUCAUCCCACAGCUAUGUUUUGAGCAUCACUCACCAUGACAGGUGCUCUGUAGGAUCCAGGAAUUAUUAUUUCUAUCUUUGCAC
rnacentral:lncRNA from 13 species